UACGUAGGGUGCAAGCGUUAAUCGGAAUUACUGGGCGUAAAGCGUGCGCAGGCGGUUUGGUAAGACCGAUGUGAAAUCCCCGGGCUUAACCUGGGAAUUGCAUUUGUGACUGCCCGGCUAGAGUUUGGCAGAGGGGGGUAGAAUUCCACGUGUAGCAGUGAAAUGCGUAGAUAUGUGGAGGAAUACCGAUGGCGAAGGCAGCCCCCUGGGUCAAGACUGACGCUCAUGCACGAAAGCGUGGGGAGCAAACAGG
rnacentral:rRNA from 1 species